AUGUGUAUUGAGAGACCAUUGAAAGCAUUUGGACCAGAAGAAUUGAUGAAGAUCAUGCUUUGUUUGAAGAUUAGGAUAGGACUUAGGAACUUAGCCUUGAACUUAAUUUGUAAAAUCCUUUUCUUUUGCCAAAAGUUCCUCAUAUGUAAUGAUAACAUGAAGGCUUUUGAAUGUAAUUCUUUGUAA